UUUAGGAACACAAAAAAAUUAAAACAAAUUAAUACCAAAAAUUGUUGUGAUGUGAUAUUUUUUCGAUAUAUUUUUAUUGUUCUGGUUACACCAUAUCGAGAAGUUAUCCAAUGAGAAAGCCGCUUAAAUUUUGCAAUUUUGUUAUGCCCAUUUGUCGUUGGUGCCAGAAGGAUGCCAAACUGUAAUUGGAAUGCCAACAUGGCAUUUG